GAUUUUGUUAGUUCUUGCUCAAACUGACCCUAUCGGUUCGUCUGGUUACCCAUUCCAGUUCACAGCGCCGGGCGCCAAAGGUGACCUUAAAGAAUGAAAGCAAUAAAUGUAGGAAGCCAACCCCCAGGAAGCAAAUUAUGGCAGUCAUCAUGCUCAUCACAGUCACCAUCCCCGUAUUUAUGUUGUUCUACCAACCAUUUCCAAUGAGCAUUGUCUUGCGCCAUAUGAUUACAUCACAUGUUUUCGAACUUCCUUACACCGCUAAUUCCCUGCCGUAAAAGGCAUGCGGUGGUUGGGUUUGUAAUGCAUUAGUAUCGAAUGGGUUCGGCUAUGCUUACACGUCAUGAAUUGCAGUAUCGUGGCCCUCAUAUAGAACCUACUAUUUCAUUGUGUACCUCUGUUUUUAUUUUUCACUCUUAUAAGACAUAAUAGUUAUUCUCGCCUUUUACAGAAUUAUUCAUUUAUUCGGGGUUAGCGCUAUGUUCGUGUGUUUCACUCGCGUUGGCCUGUUUCUUUUACUGUCCAUCAGCAUAUUAAUGUCUUGCCAGAAAACACCACGGCCCCCACCUUUGCAUUUAAGCUGGCGUUGCAGUAUAUGGGACUACGUAGGCGAAUAACUAUCGUCGAGGCGCGGACGGCCAGUGGCUCGGAAGCAACAUCUGGGGUGAUCACUUAUCGGGCGGUCACUUUCGGAGGUGAUCACACCAGACCUGUGCGUGUAUACGGCCGAAAGCGUUUUUGGAUCUGUGCCGAGCUCUCUAUCUACUGGUGUAUAGAAGGCCAACGUUCCGUGUCUUCAGCUCUUUCACAACGCUUCUCACAUAGUCAUGUGAUGUCCUUUCUUCUUUUUUUCAUCGGUGCCGACAACGAACCGCACGAGAUCGACAUGGUCGUGUCCUGCAACGCAUCUCUCGGGGAAAGACGGUGCUGGCGUUUCGUGCGUCAAGACCUGGCCAAGCGUCAGUGCAGCAGGGUGGUCUACUGUACGAGUCAGACCGGCAAGUUCAUCUGGUGGUCAGGUGUUCUAGCAGCCUGGUGUUCCUGAUGUCCGCCCUGCAGAUCUGGUGGCCAGCUGAUUUACCGACGUGGAACCUCUAUGCCCACCCUGUUGACCUGUUGGUCAGGUGCUCUAGCAGCCUCGAGUAUUGAUGCCCAACCUGUGGAUCUGGUGACCAGCUGUUCUAUAGGCUCCCGCCGUGGCUCUUGGUUCAAAGAACGCGGAGACGGACAGCCGGGCCAAGUUCAGCCUCCUAGCAGACGAGGUCGACCUGACUUCUUUAGCAGCGAGGUGAACAUCUCCUGCAGCAUGCUCAUGUCAAGCCACAUGUAGCAGCUGCGAGCAACGUACGUGACACAGUGUUCAUGCCAUUGGCAAGGCUGCAGCACACUCUGUUGUCCUCGCGCAGCCGGAUGCUCCAUUUUGGAUGUCGGUUGGCCAGGAUGUCCAGCAAGUUCCAGAGCAGCGUGCUCACCGGAAGUUCUCCGGAGGAUCCGGAUGCUCACCGGAGGAUCUGCCCACCACGGACUUCGGAGAAUCCCUCGAUCUGAAGCAACCUGGUGCGCGAGCCACCGAGCAGCCGCUGACCCAGACUGGAGAGGUUCAGCUCGAACGCCAGGUUUCGAACUUGCGUCAGAGCGGCCACUUUCACUGUCACGACGACGUGGCCAUUCGCACCGUUUUUGAAAAUUACGACAAGCGCUUGGUUCCGCACACACAAAAAUAAAGUCUGAAAACACCGCAGGCCAAAAGGCCAGAAGACGACGAUGAUGGCGACGUGUAACGCCCAUGACGUGCAAGAUGUCUUACACUUCACGUACCACGACUCGAACUAAUAAGUGUCGAAGGGGCACGUCCUGGGUAGCUUGAGGUGAGUUACGGGCGGGUCUUCGAAAUAGAGCACCGAUAGCACGGCGGCUUACCGAGUUAUAUGGUUGGUAAAGGGGGAGGGGAGGACAAGGAGUGGAAUGUUGGUGGAGUGCAUGACUAGCUGAAAUAACGAAAAACCCACGUACGACUGCAAAAUUAGCCGGAUACUUUCGCGGUGGCGUAUGUUAUUCGCCUACUGUUAUUCAAUAAGCGAAGAACUUUGUUCAGGAUCCUUUUAACCCUGCAAUGCAUAACGCGCCUUCCGAUUGCUGCGCCGUUCGAGACUGAAUUUCUAAUUUCUGCACGUGAAACAGAAGUAGCGACAUACAUUCCUAAGCUGUUCUGUGUGAAACUCGGCUGCAAUAUAACUACUAGCUGCAGUGCUCGUUAUGUUUGCUGAAGCUAUCUUCAGUAUAAGUUCGCGCUCCAUGGCGAGAAAUCAAGUUGCACGUAUUUUGUGUAGAACGCUGUUCGGGCAUUGCAGGGUUUAAUGCGCCCAAAUACGUUUGGUGUCUGUGUUGUUGGAUGCUCUGAACAGCGAACUCGUCAAAGUACUUGAAAAACUGCAGCAAUGGAUAACGAAGCCUGAAAGGACCACACCACUACAAAAUUUGGAGUUCAUCUGGGAGGCGUACCGCAGGUUGAGUAGACGUCGGGAUAAUUUAUCACUCGGAACUGGCGCCUGUGUUGUGUAGCAGGCAAACUUACGCGUGACAUUAGCAUGUUAAGCAAUCGCCGUAUAAGAAUGAAAAAGCUUGUUGAGCAUCAGAAGUACUUUCGUGCUGUUCUGUAGUUUUUCCGCGUACUUUUCUCUCGCGUUCCACAAUCUUCGCGAACAGCCGUGCGCCGUGCUUAUUAGCCGGAGGCUUCCGUUAAGCUGUUCCAAACAUACUUGUAGAAUGGAUUUCGUUGUUUCUCGCACAGAUACAGCCUUCUGGGUUUUACGAUGUCCAGGACUUCGGAAUUGCCACUAAGAAUUUGUGAUAGUAUUUGUUUUCCCCUGCCAGCGUUACUUUCUAUUCCCGGCACCUCUCGUUCUAGUGAUGAAUUCGAUGUCGUAUUUGUGAGAAAUUUGCACUUUCGGCGUCAUGUGCGCGCAUGUAUACGGCGUAAAUUAAGGUGGGAAUGUUCGGUUUUUGAUCGUCCCUCAAUUUUCUUUGUUACGAAUGGUUAAGAGCUCCGAAAUAAAGUUGCGGUGUGUGGAAUUAACGCC